rnacentral:tRNA from 2 species
CCGGGCUUGGUCGAGUGGUCAGGCACAAGCCUUCCAAGCUGAGCACACCGGUUCGACUCCGGUAGCACGCUCCA